rnacentral:rRNA from 1 species
GACGUAGGGCGCGAGCGUUGUCCGGAUUUAUUGGGCGUAAAGAGCUCGUAGGCGGUUCAGCAAGUCGGGUGUGAAAACUCUGGGCUCAACCCAGAGACGCCACCCGAUACUGCUGUGACUAGAGUCCGGUAGGGGAGUGGGGAAUUCCUGGUGUAGCGGUGAAAUGCACAGAUAUCAGGAGGAACACCGGUGGCGAAGGCGCCACUCUGGGCCGGCACUGACGCUGAGGAGCGAAAGCGUGGGUAGCAAACAGG